rnacentral:rRNA from 1 species
ACGCUAGCUACAGGCUUAACACAUGCAAGUCGAGGGGCAGCAUGGUCUUAGCUUGCUAAGGCCGAUGGCGACCGGCGCACGGGUGAGUAACACGUAUCCAACCUGCCGUCUACUCUUGGACAGCCUUCUGAAAGGAAGAUUAAUACAAGAUGGCAUCAUGAGUCCGCAUGUUCACAUGAUUAAAGGUAUUCCGGUAGACGAUGGGGAUGCGUUCCAUUAGAUAGUAGGCGGGGUAACGGCCCACCUAGUCUUCGAUGGAUAGGGGUUCUGAGAGGAAGGUCCCCCACAUUGGAACUGAGACACGGUCCAAACUCCUACGGGAGGCAGCAGUGAGGAAUAUUGGUCAAUGGGCGAGAGCCUGAACCAGCCAAGUAGCGUGAAGGAUGACUGCCCUAUGGGUUGUAAACUUCUUUUAUAAAGGAAUAAAGUCGGGUAUGGAUACCCGUUUGCAUGUACUUUAUGAAUAAGGAUCGGCUAACUCCGUGCCAGCAGCCGCGGUAAUACGGAGGAUCCGAGCGUUAUCCGGAUUUAUUGGGUUUAAAGGGAGCGUAGAUGGAUAUUUAAGUCAGUUGUGAAAGUUUGCGGCUCAACCGUAAAAUUGCAGUUGAUACUGGAUAUCUUGAGUGCAGUUGAGGCAGGCGGAAUUCGUGGUGUAGCGGUGAAAUGCUUAGAUAUCACGAAGAACUCCGAUUGCGAAGGCAGCCUGCUAAGCUGCAACUGACAUUGAGGCUCGAAAGUGUGGGUAUCAAACAGGAUUAGAUACCCUGGUAGUCCACACGGUAAACGAUGAAUACUCGCUGUUUGCGAUAUACUGCAAGCGGCCAAGCGAAAGCGUUAAGUAUUCCACUUGGGGAGUACGCCGGCAACGGUGAAACUCAAAGGAAUUGACGGUGGGCUGCACAAGCGGAGGAACAAUUGGUAUAAUUCGAUGAUACUCGAGGAACC